rnacentral:rRNA from 1 species
AGUGAACGCUGGCGGUAGGCCUAACACAUGCAAGUCGAACGGCAGCACAGUAAGAGCUUGCUCUUACGGGUGGCGAGUGGCGGACGGGUGAGGAAUACAUCGGAAUCUACUUUUUCGUGGGGGAUAACGUAGGGAAACUUACGCUAAUACCGCAUACGACCUACGGGUGAAAGCAGGGGAUCUUCGGACCUUGCGCGAUUGAAUGAGCCGAUGUCGGAUUAGCUAGUUGGCGGGGGAAAGGCCCACCAAGGCGACGAUCCGUAGCUGGUCUGAGAGGAUGAUCAGCCAAACUGGAACAGAGACACGGUCCAGAAUCCUAAGGGAGGCAGCAGUGGGGAAUAUUGGACAAUGGGCGCAAGCCUGAUCCAGCCAUACCGCGUGGGUGAAGAAGGCCUUCGGGUUGUAAAGCCCUUUUGUUGGGAAAGAAAAGCAGCAGGCUAAUACCCCGCUGUUCUGACGGUACCCAAAGAAUAAGCACCGGCUAACUUCGUG